rnacentral:lncRNA from 1 species
AUGCAUGUCCUGGGGCUGUGCCUCUGCGUCCCGUCACCCGGUGCUGCUGGUGCUGCUGCAGCUGCCCUCCUGGGGGGCAGCAGUGAAGGGGCCACCGGUCCCCCCCUCUCGGACCCAGGUCCGUCUUUCCGAGGAACAGAGCUCUGGUGCUUGACCUGGAGGGCAGACGUGCCCAGAGUUGGGUCCCAAACCGCCAAGUUACUUCAUUUAACAGGUGCAUCUUUAGAGACCGGCGAUUUAAUGAUGAUGUACAAGAGCUGCUGGACUACUGGUGAAACAGCGGUGAUGUCUCGGAAGGAAGAAGGCAGGUCAGAGGGGGGCUCCCAGGGAGAGGUGUGGCACCUGAGUCUGGCCUCCUGGGGAGCAGAGCCAGGGGGACAGAUUCCUGCAGCAAAAGGCACUGACUCUGGAGCAUCGGGAAUAAGGAACCACAAUGCAGUGUCACCGAGAGUGUGUCUGCAUUAUCUUCCCAUUGAAAUUAAGACAGAUUUUCAGCACUUCGGAUCAGUAAGUCAAGCAAGGAAAUUGGUCUAAGGGCUGUUGUAUUCUUCCCCGUUACUCACUCUCAUUUACUAAUAAAUGUUUGCUUAGUCUUAUGGAAACAUAUAACUGGGUAUUUGGAAAGAGCUUUAAUAAGUAAUUUGUGCUUGGAUCGCCGUAAGACAGUGACUAUCCAUCUUGCCUAAUGAAGCAAACUUUUGGGGAGCUUUUGAGGGUCACACCAUCAAGUCGAUUGAUACUUCUUUCUGACUUCUGCCUUUUCAUAAUUGAACUACAAAUUCAAAACACAUUUGCACAGUGAAUACCUCUUUCUAGAAACACUGGAGUCCAGCUUUUCAACUAAACCCUUCUAAUCCUCUGCAGAUAGAUUCCCAUUAGCCUUUGUUUCAGUCACUUUCCAAUUCGAACAAUGGGGACUAUUCAGUUGCUUUGUUCAUAUUAAAUUAUUUGUCAUACUUUCCUACUGAAUUUGUCUGAUUUUCAUUCGCAUGUGGAAACUGCUUUAUUGUAAUGCCAAUAAAAUUACGUUUUAUUAAUAUCUUGGUAACAAGAAUCCGUUUCACAAUGGAAUAAUUUUAGUGUUGCUCAACAUACAUGUACAUGAAAGUUAAUGUAUAAUUUCAGUACUUUAUUUUUGUGCAGCUGUCACAGGAUAGGAUAUAGUUUACUAUAGGAUAUGGUUUUAUUAGAUAUAUUUUCACCUGUUUCAGUGACAUUGUUGUAAACAUGAAAUCAUUUCCAUUUGUUUGGUUAGAAAUCCUGAUUUCCAACAUUGUACAAUUUAAGAAGCUCAGGAUGCUAUAGGUAUAAUAACUUGAACUUGAACUUUAUUGCCAUAUGUAAC